GAUGAACGCUGGCGGCGUGCUUAACACAUGCAAGUCGAACGAAGCACUUUAUUUGAUUUCCUUCGGGACUGAUUAUUUUGUGACUGAGUGGCGGACGGGUGAGUAACGCGUGGGUAACCUGCCUUGUACAGGGGGAUAACAGUUGGAAACGGCUGCUAAUACCGCAUAAGCGCACAGCAUCGCAUGAUGCAGUGUGAAAAACUCCGGUGGUAUAAGAUGGACCCGCGUUGGAUUAGCUAGUUGGUGAGGUAACGGCCCACCAAGGCGACGAUCCAUAGCCGACCUGAGAGUGUGACCGGCCACAUUGGGACUGAGACACGGCCCAAACUCCUACGGGAGGCAGCAGUGGGGAAUAUUGCACAAUGGGCGAAAGCCUGAUGCAGCGACGCCGCGUGAGCGAAGAAGUAUUUCGGUAUGUAAAGCUCUAUCAGCAGGGAAGAUAAUGACGGUACCUGACGAAGAAGCACCGGCUAAAUUCGUG
rnacentral:rRNA from 1 species